rnacentral:rRNA from 1 species
CAGCUAGUUGGCAGGGUAACGGCCUACCAAGGCGACGAUCGGUAGCUGGUGUGAGAGCACGACCAGCCACACGGGCACUGAGAUACGGGCCCGACUCCUACGGGAGGCAGCAGUAAGGAAUAUUGGUCAAUGGACGCAAGUCUGAACCAGCCAUGCCGCGUGCAGGAUGAAGGUCCUCUGGAUUGUAAACUGCUUUUCUCUGGGAAGAAAUCCUUGAUUUCUAUCGAGGUUGACGGUACCAGAGGAAUAAGCACCGGCUAACUCCGUGCCAGCAGCCGCGGUAAUACGGAGGGUGCAAGCGUUAUCCGGAUUUACUGGGUUUAAAGGGUGCGUAGGCGGAUUGGAAAGUCAGUGGUGAAAUACUCCGACUUAAUCGGAGAACCGCCGUUGAUACUAUCAAUCUUGAAUGUGGUUGAGGCGGGCGGAAUGUGUCGUGUAGCGGUGAAAUGCUUAGAUAUGACACAGAACACCCAUUGCGAAGGCAGCUCGCUAAACCACCAUUGACGCUGAGGCACGAAAGCGUGCGGAGCAAACAGGAUUAGAAACCCUGGUAGU